rnacentral:rRNA from 1 species
GUCCGCAAGGACAAUUUGAUAAUUGACCUCAAAUCAGUCCAACUUUAACCUUCCAAUAU